AGAAUGAGGUUCCCUGAUUGAUUGGUCACACACACACACAAAAUACCACUGGGUGAGACCUUGAUGACCAACCACCUCUGGUGUAGAAGGUCCUCUGCAGGAAAACCAUUAAGGAAGGAGAUGGGACAAACGAUAUGUCCCGCAGUGGGCGGUUAAGCAUGCAAGUGGACAAGGGCAUGUAGUUAGACCUGGAUUCAAAUACUGACCCUGCCCUUCCCUCUCCCAGCUGUCCAUGCUUGGACACUCUCUAAACCGUCCACAUUGGAAAAAGACAACGUUUCUGGUACUCACCUUGCCAGGUGGCCAUGAGAAUCAUGUGAUAUCACCUGUAAACACUGCCUAGCAAUGUGCCUGGCAUGUCGUGGGCUCUGUGUAAAAAACCAGCCUCUCCUACCCUAUUUCCCUUUCCUCUGUGUCCCACCCUCUCCAAUACAGAUGAAAUACAGU
rnacentral:lncRNA from 1 species